GACGAACGCUGGCGGCGUGCUUAACACAUGCAAGUCGAACGGAAAGGCCCAGCUUGCUGGGUACUCGAGUGGCGAACGGGUGAGUAACACGUGGGUGAUCUGCCCUGCACUCUGGGAUAAGCCUGGGAAACUGGGUCUGAUACCGGAUAUGAUCAACUGUCGCAUGGUGGUUGGUGGAAAGCUUUUGCGGUGUGGGAUGGGCCCGCGGCCUAUCAGCUUGUUGGUGGGGUAAUGGCCUACCAAGGCGACGACGGGGAGCCGACCUGAGAGGGGGAUCGGCCACACUGGGACUGAGACACGGCCCAGACUCCUACGGGAGGCAGCAGUGGGGAAUAUUGCACAAUGGGCGCAAGCCUGAUGCAGCGACGCCGCGUGAGGGAUGACGGCCUUCGGGUUGUAAACCUCUUUCACCAGGGACGAAGCGUGAGUGACGGUACCUGGAGAAGAAGCACCGGCCAACUACGUGCCAGCAGCCGCCGUAA
rnacentral:rRNA from 1 species